rnacentral:rRNA from 1 species
AUUGAACGCUGGCGGCAGGCCUAACACAUGCAAGUCGAGCGGAGCGGCGGACGGGUGAGUAAUGCCUAGGAAUCUGCCUGGUAGUGGGGGAUCACGUCCGGAAACGGGCGCUAAUACCGCAUACUAUCAGAUGAGCCUAGGUCGGAUUAGCUAGUUGGUGGGUUAAAGGCCUACCAAGGCGACGAUCCGUAACUGGUCUGAGAGGAGGAUCAGUCACACGGGAACUGAGACACGGUCCAGAAUCCUACGGGAGGCAGCAGUGGGGAAUAUUGCACAAUGGGCGCAAGCCUGAUGCAGCCAUGCCGCGUGUAUGAAGAAGGCCUUCGGGUUGUAAAGUACUUGCAGCGGGGAGGCGUUACCAACAGAAUAAGCACCGGCUAACUUCGUGCCAGCCGCCGCGGUAAUAC